UACGUAGGGUGCAAGCGUUGUCCGGAAUUACUGGGCGUAAAGAGCGUGUAGGCGGUUUGGCGGGUCCGUUGUGAAAACUCGAGGCUCAACCUCGAGACGCCGAUGGAAACCAUCUGACUAGAGUCCGGAAGAGGAGAGUGGAAUUCCUGGUGUAGCGGUGAAAUGCGCAGAUAUCAGGAAGAACACCCGUGGCUAAGGCGGCUCUCUAGUACGGUACUGACGCUGAGACGCGAAAGCGUGGGGAGCGAACAGG
rnacentral:rRNA from 1 species